rnacentral:rRNA from 1 species
UACAGAGGUCCCAAGCGUUGUUCGGAUUCACUGGGCGUAAAGGGCGCGUAGGUGGUGAGGCAAGUUUGAUGUGAAAUCUCCGGGCUCAACCCGGAAAUGGCAUUGAAUACUAUCUUGCUAGAGGAGUGGAGGGGGGACUGGAAUACUUGGUGUAGCAGUGAAAUGCGUAGAUAUCAAGUGGAACACCAGUGGCGAAGGCGAGUCCCUGGACACUUCCUGACACUGAGGCACGAAAGCUAGGGGAGCAAACAGG